GCGAGGGUAGCAAAGCCUGGCCAAAUGUGCCGGACUUAAGAUCCGGCCUCGAAGGAGUUCGUGGGUUCGAAUCCCACCCCUCGCA
rnacentral:tRNA from 1 species